rnacentral:misc_RNA from 1 species
UAAUAAGUGUUUUAUGGCACUUUUUAAAUCCAUAUCCACCUUGUGUGCAAUGUCAGUCGAUCUUCUUCAUGGAAGAUCGACCAAACAUCAACCUUUAUUUUUAACUCUUUGUCUGAAAAAUAUUAUGAAUAAACAAUUCAAAAUA